rnacentral:rRNA from 1 species
UACGUAGGGUGCAAGCGUUGUCCGGAAUUAUUGGGCGUAAAGAGCUCGUAGGUGGUCUGUCGCGUCUGCUGUGAAAACUCAGGGCUUAACCCUGAGCUUGCAGUGGGUACGGGCAGACUAGAGUGCGGUAGGGGAGACUGGAAUUCCUGGUGUAGCGGUGAAAUGCGCAGAUAUCAGGAGGAACACCGGUGGCGAAGGCGGUUCUCUGGGCAUGAUCUGACGGCUGGAGGAGCGAAAGUGUCGGGGAGCGAACAGG